CCCAACCCCAAAACGUUUAGAAAAAAAAAGAAAACGAAAUCAAAGGCCAUUAAGACGCGACCUGACCGCACGGCCGAGAGCCCCCACCCCCACCCCCGGGGGCCUCUCGGAAGCGCGGGCCCUUUAAGCGCGCCAGACGCCGCGGGAGCCAAUUGGCGCCUAACGGGCGGUUGCCAUGGCGCCGGGGGCCGGGAGCCAAUAGGGGGCGCCGUGGCUUUUCGAAUGGCCGCGAGCAGGGCCGGCGUGCCAGGCGGGCGGGGCGAGGAGGGGGCGGUGAGAGCCGGCCCACGUGGCGCGGGGGCAGUGGGGGCGCCGAGCGGCUGCCAUGGAAACCGGGCGGGAAAAAGCCCCGCGAGGCGCCGGGGAGAGGGGCCGGGGGCGAUCCGAAACCGUCUGCGAGCGGGGAGGGGCGCGGCCGAAAACAAAAGGGAGCGAUCGGAGAGAGGCGGCCGGGGGGGGGGGAGCGGGGAGGAAAAACGAGGCGAGACGGAGGGGGAUGGGGGCUGAGGCAGCCCCGCUCGCGGGGCCCGGCGGACGGCGCGGAGCGGCCCCCCGGGGUCCGUCCGCAGAGCAGCCUGCGCCGCACCCCCCAGUCCGGGCGGGGAGCGCCCCCCGCGCCGCGCCCCCCCUCAUGCCUUCCGGCCCUUGAGCGCCUUGGGCUUCGCGGACUUCUUCACCUUCUUGCCCCCGGGGGACGCGGCUCCCUUCUUGGCGGCCUUCUUGGCUUUGUCCUUCCUGGCCGCCGCGCCGCCCGCUCCCUUCUUGUGCGAUUUCUUCUCGGCCUUCUGGCUCUUGCCCGCGGGUUUCUCCGCCCGCCGGGACGCGGCGGCCGCCGCCUUCCUGGGGGCUCUGUGCGCGCCUCCGCCCGCGGCCCCGUCCCCGCCGCCCUCCAGCUUCUUCCUGUUGAGCUUGAAGGAGCCGUUGGCGCCGGUGCCCUUGACCUGCAGCAGCGUGUCGUUCUGCACCAGCGCCUUGAUGGAGUACUUCAGCGAGGAGCCGCCGGCUUUCGCCUUCUUAGAGGCCCCUUUCUUCUCGGCGGCGAGCGGCGCCUCCUCCGCCUCAGUCAGGGGCAGAUCGGCUUCUUCCAGGUCCACCGACAUGGUGCCGGGGGCCGCGGGACGGAGGCGGGAAGCGGGCGGGCACAAGCGGCCGCGGCGUGGCGAGGCCCGGGCCCUGCGCGCUGCUCUCCUGCUCCCCUCCGCUCCGCGCCGC
rnacentral:lncRNA from 1 species